UACGAAGGGGGCUAGCGUUGUUCGGAAUUACUGGGCGUAAAGCGCACGUAGGCGGACAUUUAAGUCAGGGGUGAAAUCCCGGGGCUCAACCUCGGAACUGCCUUUGAUACUGCAAAUCUCGAGUCCGAUAGAGGUGGGUGGAAUUCCUAGUGUAGAGGUGAAAUUCGUAGAUAUUAGGAAGAACACCGGUGGCGAAGGCGGCCCACUGGAUCGGUACUGACGCUGAGGUGCGAAAGCGUGGGGAGCAAACAGG
rnacentral:rRNA from 1 species